AAGUAGCAACCUUAUUUCGUGCAUGCGUCCCUGCCUGCCUGUCUACUCGCCAGCCGCCCGCCUGCUUUCCCGUUUUCAUCCGCUCGCCACCAUCUCCCUGCCCCUCUUCAGUGUCUCCACCCUCACCAGUCGCUAGAUGAAUGGGCUCGGAGGGUGACAAGAGGACGCGCGCCGGAGUACGGGAAAACUCAUUCUCAGAGGCUCCGAAGGGCUCCCAGCCGAGCCAGGACAACUGACGGCGAAAGACAGAAGGGAGAUGAAGACGGCCAGGAAAGCCGCCACGGCUGCAACCCCAGUGGAGGAGGAACACUGUCGGCUAGGGCACCGAAGCAAGGGAACACGGGAUUGGGCGAAAGGCUGAGUAUCCCGAGACCCUACUGGCUGCCGAGAGCCAACGCUCUGGCUUUCUGCCAGUGAGCCAAGAGUUAAAAGGGAACACGCAAAGAAAGGGUUGGCUUCUCCCAACAAUUGUCGUCACGGCUAGGUUAGAAGCGCAGCCUAUGGGUGUUUCCUCGGAAGUGAGGCCCCUUUAAAUUAAGACAACUCGUCAAUACUGUAAAGGCUCAGGCUGCGAGAAAGGUUGCCUGGUAGUGCACUCCCAUGUAUGCAUACUCUGGUGUAGGAUUUGCAUGUUGGGGAGGAGAGAACCGUGUACGCCACCUUGAGUUCCUUGGAGGAAAGAAAUGGCUGGAUAACCACUGCUCUGCAGUCACAACCAUAUUUGCUGAGCUAGCCGGAAAGGAUGGAAGUGUCUCAUUGGAUUUUUCCCGGUAACAAAAUUGUGCAGAAUGAGGGCUGGGUAAAUGUGUUAUCUCCAUGCAAAAUAGCACUACCUGGCAGGAAGAUCCUCUGGAUCCCACACAACAAAAUAACAAGUGCAUAUUUAUAGCAUGAAGAAAACAGAAAUAUGGAGAGGCCCCAUAGCACAGGAGGACUUGUAUCUAUCAAUGCAGGGAUUCAUUAAAUCUAUUGCAUACCAUGUCAAUUCCUAGCCAACACACCAACACUAAUUGGGUCCUUCAAUCAAGGUUCGAAUUUGCUCAGCAGCAACAACCCAGUGAGAUGGAGUAAAGCAUAACCAGUGAUAAAAAUCACAGACUCAGAAUUGUAAUAGAAAUUAAUCAAUUGGUUUAUUGGUGUACAAUGCUUUGUUUAAGGUAUAUAGAAGAUAAUGACAUUAGCAACCUCACUAUUGACUUUAAGGCAACCAUUUUAUGCCAACAGGUCUAUGCAGCUGUUUAAACUUUCUUGAUUAGCCAGUCUUUUUAAUUAUUAUUUUGUAUUGUUUUUAAUUGUUUUAUGUUUUAUUGUAUAUAUUCUUGUACACUGCCUUGACAUUUUAUAUGAGUUGGUGGUAUAUAGAUAUUUUUAUAAAUAAAUAAUAUGCCAUUUGCAGAAAACAAGGCAACAAACUAAUAUAGUAGAAAACAAUAUAUGUAUGGUUUAUUAAUGGCAUACAUUAAUCAUGGUAAUUGCAUUUGUUUAAUAAUGGCAUGAACUAAUAAUUGCAUUGACAAAGCAAUCAGUAAGAAUAAGUAACAUUGUUAAAAUAGUCUUUCUCCUAAUUUUUUCCAGCCCAUCUAGUUUUGAAACAAAAUUUCUAAAUUCCAUAGCAUAUUAGCAGGUUGGAAUAAAGUUCACAAUUACCAAUGCAGGACAGUAGGCCAGGCAGGGCUGGUGCUAUCAUUAGGCCAGCUAGGCAGCCGCCUAGGGCGCAGACCUCAGAGGGGUGCAGUACUGACCUUUGAGGGGCACAGUUUUAUACAGAUUAGUUUUUUUAACCCUUGGAAAAAAUGCAACUAAAAUAAAUUUAGCAGUUUCAA